UAGGUUGGUACCCACGGAAUUAGGAUAGAAUUCUACAACGACAAGGGGACCAAGAAAUCUGCCACCUAUCUACCUGAAGUCCCUCCUGAACAGGAGUGGACCAAGAAGCAAACUAUAGACCAUCUUCUGCGCAAAGGAGGUUACACGGUACCGGUAAUACGAGACGAGUUCCGCCGAACUAUACGCGUCACCCGUUAUCAGAGCGAAAAACUGACCCAAAGCUAUGCAGAUUACACAGCCUACAACAACGGUCGCCGACAAGCCAACGGACAUAUUUAAUGAUAGCUUUCCGUGUCACCUCUUCCAGGUGGCAGACUUGUUUAACAACUUUCAUCCACUUUUUAUAUGUGUAUUUUUAAUUGUUGUUUUGAAGAUACCUUAGGUUUUUUUUAAAGAUACCGUAGGAAGUCAAAGGGAGUGGAUUGUGAAUUAAUGAACUUGUUUCAAAGAUGAUAGAAAUUUCUUUUUUUUUCUUGUCACCCGAUGGAUUGUGUAGGAGUUUGGACUUAUGUGAUUAGAUAGAUGGGGCAUAUUACUGUUGCUUUUAAUAUACUUCUUAAUUUUUGUUGUCUCAUUCAGAUUUGAAACAGAAUUCUUGUUCCAAAUAAACAAUUCCCGGCCCAAAUGAACAUAUUCCCACAAGAUUACAGUCAUACUGAAUCCCUGGCAGAGGAGCAACCAGUUUGCUUGCAAAGUAAAAGAAUUAUUUCUAGAUUGGUGUUGAUUAAACAUAUCCUACUUUUUAAUUCACAUGUUUUUUCCAAUUGGAUAAUUUCUGUCCUUAUAAAGGUGAUAUUGGCCAAGCCCUUAUGUACAAUUAGAACUGUAGCUAUAAGAACUCAGAUCAACUGAGACAAAAUCUUGUUGGUAAUAGAUAACACUUCUGGAGAAAAAGCCCAUAUCAUUUAGACAGCUUUCGCUGCAUUUUGAUGUGCAAAUGAGCCAUCAAAUGCAACACCAAAUUUCUAAUGGGUUUGAUUCCUCGAUUUCCAUAUUAUAAAAAAAGUUUUUCCUUCAUUUGUUCACAGAUUUUAACAAACUUUCCUAGUUUAUGGUAUUAUUAUUAUUUUGUACACGUUCAGUGGAAUACCUACUGUAGAUAAUAAUGAUUACACCGUCUAUUUGGCAUCAACACCGCGACUCACCAUUUUCCCCCCCAAUGAAGUUACUUACUCAAGGUUCUCUUUAUUAGGAAAUGUUCACUUCCUACGAAAGGUUUUCCAAUAUUUUGUUGUAUAUUAUAUAUUGAAACUCAGGGUGCUGUGUAGGUACUUUGCUUUUAAACCAGGUCCAGGUCUGCUGGGCUUGGUGAAAUGUCAGGUUCGGGCAAUGGGUGUUUGUUUAUGUAUAUUCCCUUGCCCAUUGUCUCUGUUGGAUAAGGGAUAUUAGAUUGGAAACUCAACCAAUUUCUCUUCCUUAUGCAGGGCAUUAUCCCCCCCUUCAGAGCUGAGCUGCUUCCCACUUGUUUUGUGAAAGAAAAUGCCAUCUUUUUUUUUUAUUAAGCCUGUCUCACACUUUGCGAACUGGUGCGACGUUUAGCAUUAAAUAUGAAAGUUCCAAGAAGUAAAAUUAUCUUAUCUAAGGUUUGGCAUGUUGUAAGGAAAACUAAAAUAUUUCAAUUUGCGGCAAGCCCUAUGGUCGGAGUAAAGUCCAAAUCGGCUUCAAGUCGCAGCCGAUGAUGACGUCAUUACGAUUUUGAAUUGAAUUUGUUUUAUUCAUUCAGGGAGGCUCUAACUGGACUGAAUUUCAAUUUCAGUAGUCCUACCACUAUUCUGAACUCUGAUCCGUAAUAUUUUAUUAGUUUGAAUAUCCAUAUCAAAUGUUAUCACAAUUAAUUUGAAAUUUGGGUCGCAACGAAUCGUGUAGUGUGAGGCGGGCUUUAGAUUAAACACUCAACCAAAUUCUAUUCCUAGUGCAGGGCAUUAUCAGAAUAGGGCAUUUUGACUCUAGUUAAUGCAUACCAGUCCGAUGCAUUUCUUCUUUGACAAAUUCCUUUCCAAAAUGAAGCAAGUUCAUGUUUUUUAUUUACAUGUACAUGUGAAAAGAGGAAAGAUUCAUUUUGCUUGAUACCUAUGGUAUGUGUACUUUAUUGCAUGUGACUAUACCAUGGCAUUGGUUAUUUAAUAAUAAAUUUGUCAUUGAUUAGUGCAAAUGGAAUGACGGUUACCAUGGUAAUGGUGCUUUUCAGGCAAUUAAAAAACCUUUUUCUUCUUUAAUUCUUUUUGAGAGAUGAUUCAAAAUUAAUAUCAAAUUCAUUUAACUUUUGUACAAUUCCAACCUCCAAAGUACUUUUAUUAUUGAUAUAAUUUUAUAAUGAAAAAUUGUUGCUGACAGCAUUUAUGAAUCAAGGCCCUUUAAGGUACAGAGUUGAAAAUGCUCAAACUUUUUUAAAAAUAAAAAUUGGAUUUAACAUCCUUUUGGAAAGGAAACUGUCCUUUGAGAUCUGACUUAUGACAGUUGAGACCGUCUGAGCCAAACUUAUCCAUUAACUUUCUUCUCUGAUUUUAGAAGUUUGGAUAAAUUUUUUAGUUUUUCCUAUUUUGCUGAAAGAUGUUUUAUUUUGUUGUGUGAUAUUAGAACAUGAUGUAGCUAUAUUCAAAUGAUCUGGUGGGUGUUUCAUAAAGCUGUUCGUAAGUUAAGAGCGACUUUAAGAACGACUGGUGAACCUUUCUUACGCGCUAAAUAAUCACCAAUGAACAUUUCAUGGUGAAUAUCAUUUACCACAAGAAAGGAUCACCAGUCAUUCUUAUUGUCACUCUUAAGAACAGCUCUAUGAACAAUGGGCUUAGUGAUUGUAAUAAUAAUAAUAUUGGUUUAUUUACCCAGGGAAGCCACUUCAGUUCUGAAAAAUGUUCUCCCAGUGGGCCCUGCUAUUAUUAUUACCCCGGCUUCAGCUGGGCUGCCUAGGCGCUCAAAGCGUUCAAGGAAUUUCUUCCUACCGGGUACCCAUUCACUUCACCUGGAUUGAUCUUAGGGUCGAGUAACAUGACUGGUUGUAUUUAUCAGUGGGUGCCAUCAAUCGUAAAAAUCAACUGUAUGAUUGGUUGCUUAGCUUUGUGUAGUGAGACCUUGAAUAAAUGGAAAAGGGGCUGUAGAAUGAAGAGAAAAAAGUUUUCAAACCGCAUUUUAGAUUAAAUUUUAAAUUUUUGAAUCUUUAAAUUUUAUUUUGAUUUUUAUGCUUUUCUAUCUUUCUUUCAGCGUCAAUGUCUACAACUACACUCUGUGUAGAAGUUUGAUCAUUUUUUUUACAUUGAGAGAUCAUUUUGUUUCUAUAGCUUGCUGGACUUUAUUUGGGGUGAUUGCAUGUAUUAGUGUUGUCGCUUGUAAAAACAAUGUGGCCCUUCAAAGCAGAGUGUCUGUUUGGGGAUGAAAGCCUAUCACACAUGAAUGAUGAUGAUGAUUAUACAUUUACAUGGAUCGCUUCUUAAAUGAUACAUGUAUGGCAAUUUAUUUUAAUCAGGCACAUGAUCCAAUGAUAUUUGGUCUAAUUCCAAGGUUGUCUAUUAACACUACUGCGGCCAAAGACAGUUUUGUAUCAGUUAGGUAUAACUUCUAUAUGAUCCCAUCAUCACUUUUAGUCUCGGGGACCUAUAACAUUACAAAAUGUAGAUGCAUGUAGAACAGUGCUUCUCCAGUGGUUGCCAGUUGCCCACUCUAUGGCUGCAAGGUCAGCCAACAAUAUUUUGGAUAUUAAACCAAAAAAAAGAAGAAAAUAUCUAUGUUCUUUGAUGCAGCAUAACUCUUCUAUAACAUCACAUCAAUCGAGCCGAAAAUCGUCACACUUAGUCAAGCUCUCCUUCAGCCUUUUCGAUGCUCUCACCAUGGUAUUUUUAAAAAGAAAGUCCCCUUUCUUGAAAUGCUGCCUUGUAAAUAAGCAAUGCUGUGCUUCAAAUAAUUACCACAUUUACUUUCAUCGUAUUCAUAUUUAUUCUCAUUACGGAUAUUGUUGGAAUCCUCCCAAGGGAGCGGAGAAAUUGCAUAUUCUGUUUCUGGGCAUGUCAGGAUCUGAUGAAUGGGGUAAUGAUAUAUUUUUGUAAAGCUCGUGUAAGAAAUUGAAGAAUGAAGUUGGACCUGCAAAAUAUAGAUGAAAAAAAAAAGCUGAAAGGGGGGGGGGGUCCUUAGGUGAAAAAAAAAGGUUGAGAAGCACUAGAUUAUUUUUUAUGAGAUUAGACCGAAUUAAAAUAAAGCCCGGCGUUCACUACACUAUCCAUUUGGAUCCGAUAUGGACAAAUAAAAAUCCCAGUCUAUUUCAAGUCCCUUGUAUAGGAAUAAAGCAAUUUAAAUUCCAAACUGUAGUGACUUCAUCAUUGGCUGUGAUUUGAAGCUGAUUUUGACUUUAAUUUGACCAUAAGGCUGCCAGUAAAAUAGAAUUUUGAUUUUGGUUAUUUAGGACUUCAAAUCAUUUACUGCUAAGAACUGUACUAUUUACUGUAAAAUAUGAUUUGUGAAAAAAAAAAAUCGGAUCAUAAAGUGUGUGGCAGGCUUUAAUAGGCAAAGUGGAAUUAGGCCAAAUUAAGACUAAACGUCACGUGAGGAGUCUUCAUAGUGUCAAACUUCUUCAACCACUGAAACCCUCUCUCCCCCAAAUCGAUCAAUUUCAUCAAUCAAUGGAAACUCAUCAUUUUCCAUUUUAUUUAUAUUUCUUGUGAUUUCAUACCCAUACCUAUACAUUCCAAACCAUGUAAUGCGCUUCUGUACAGUGUUUAGACCUAUCUAGGAUAUUCCUAUCCUUAAUGUACAUGUAUUGCAGUGAUAUAUUCUCUACUGGUGCUUACGUGAGUUGUGAUUCAUUCUUUUGCAAUUUGGCGUUUUACAGGAUAUUCUUUGCUCAACACUAACAUCAGGACCAUGUUUUACAAAGAAUUGUGAUUGAUCCAAUCGAUCUCAACUAUGGAAAGCCACUUGCAUUCUUCCUAUUUUGCACAAACAAAGCACACAUGUACAUGUAUGUAUACAAGUACAAGAAGGGGGAAAACAUUGCAGGCUUAUUUUAUUGUUAUUCGCUGUGAGAUAACAUAUAAGGAUCUCUGAAUAUUAAGUUUAGGUUUACAUGCCUAUCAAUUACUAUGUCUUGCCCUUGUACAUAUGUGUUUUAGUUCAUUUUAGGUAAUAAGCAUGUAUUCUGUUUCUUUUUUAUUACAUUUUAGUAUGAUUUUUCUUUAUAUCGGUAUACUUGAUAACAAAGAGUUGCCUUAUUUCUUUACCUGUGUUAGUUAAUAUAUAACUGUGUGUUUGAUAUAUUUAUGUAUUCCAUGUUUCUCACUAACUGUUUUUCUAUGAAAAUUUUACACUCUGCUUACUAAUAAUGCGAGCGGUGGUUGGUUGUUGCAUUGCGGCCGGGUCAAAGGUCGCCGUGGUAUCUGGUGAUGGGUCAUGUCUGCUAUUCGAUGAAUAUUUUUACUUGUGAUGGAUAAUUUUUUUGACUGUUGGAAUAUGCCACAUUGGUAGUAGAUAUGUGAUGUUAUAAUACUUCUAUUUAUUUCAACUAUGCUGUACUAGUAAUUUCUCACCAUCAAAUUUAUGCAAAUUCAUGAACGAUCGGAGACCUGCGUUUGGCUUUGAGCUGAUCCGAAGUUUAAAGGAGAUGACUUCAAAAUGAGCAUAAUCCUCUUCCUUCAGUUGAUUUUAAAGGACUCUUUUUCUUUCAAUUUUAUUCCCCUCAAGUGGGAUGUCUUUUAAAAGGUUGAUCUGUCUAGAGGUCGUGAUUUGUAUGCUGUUUAAAGUAAGGUUGUGUGAUGUUAACAGAGUUGAUAUUGCCCGCUCAUACAUGAUGUUGUAAGCCGUCAAGAAAACAAGGAUGUGAUUAUGAUAUUGAUGUCAAUCUCGACCUUCCUGGGGAAUGUUUCACAAACAUCUAAGUGUGACUAAGUCACUUAUAAUUUCCAGCAUAACUUUGAGGCCGUUCUCAUUACGCUUUCUAAAACUAGUUUACUGGAAACCGAUUCAGGAAACCACUUGUGAGAACAGCCUCUUUGAUCACACUUAUAUGUACAUGUACUCUUUGUAAACCCCCCCCCCCCCCUUUUAAGAGGAUCGAGAUUUGAUUAGGAUGAAAAGUAAACAUACUUCAUGUAUAGUUUAUAACAGAAUUAUUAGGGGGUGUUUCACAAAAAGUUGAGUGCAACUUCAAAUUGCACUGAAACGAUGAUGAAAAGAGCACAUUGAUGCAUGAAUGGAAGCUUUGGUCUCGAAAACCCUUCAUUACUUUGUUUUUGUGACAAUAUGUACACAUCGUGUAUGAGCAAUGGGCAGGGUUCAAGUUAUUCAAGUAGUAGAUUUCAUGAUGUUUAUAUGUGAUUCCAUCUUGCACCAUGUUAGCUAUGUACAUCUAGAUAGGUUUUUAUUGAAGAGUAUAACCAUUGUUACUAUUAUACAAUAUUUUCAAACGGACGAGAAAAGGAAAAAAAAAACGGUGAAAAAAAAAAUGUUGAUGUAUUUACAGGAUGUAGUUUGAGAAAAAACAUGAUGAUAAAUGCAUGGUUAUAAAAACUGAAA